AAGUUCUAAGGACUUCAUCAUAUAAAAGUUUAUUUGAAGAUGUACAAUGAAAUGAUAAAUAAUGUAAAUAACACUUUAUUAAUUUGUUAAUUCAUUUACAAAAUUCAAUCAUCAACAUACUGACGAUUGACAUUUAGGAUACAAUUUCCAACACUAACUAUAUAUAAGCAAAUGUAGGUACAAAUGCUAUUUUCACCAACAUUUGGGAGGUUUGGGUUAUUAGCAAAGUUCUACACCUGUUUACACCACAUCCAGACUGGCUGUGAUCGAGAGCUUGAAAUACUAAAAAAAAUGCAGGCAGAAAUAGCAAGAAUUAAUGCAGGCCGAGUGAAUGUGGCAUACACCCAAGGGAGAGAAAAUUCUCGACCUAGGAUGAAGCCUUAGUAGAGAAGGAUCUAAGGAUGGUGGUAGGCCAGCAGUUACAACUAUCCAUGCAUACAAGGAAUGGUUAAACCACUUAAAUGUCCGUAGUGAGUAAAAGUACCUAACUUCCCACUACUUAUAAUGUAAUUGGUAUGGUCACACUACCCAUCAUGUACGAUAAUGGUAGGUCAUAUGGCACAUAAUAAUGAGUAUAAGUAUCCAAGAUGAGUAAUGACACCCAUAUUACCAAUUAAAAGGAGUCACUUAUAAUUAUCUUUUUGUAAUAUUGAAAAAAAGCACUUUCGACAAUCCAAUCAAUACAUUUUAUCUUAGCUUACUAGAGUUUUUUUUAUCAUAGAAGUAGUGUCAAUUUAAAUCUCAACUUCUAUAUCCCAAGCUAUACCCCUAUCCCUUGCCAAUUUCAUUUUUUUCAAACGUUGGUGUGGCGAUGGCGGAAGUUCUUGAAAGUCAAAGUACCUGAACUACUGCUACUCUCAUAUCCUCCUUUCGUUCUUCAUCUUUUUGGCUACUCUUAUAUCGGUGGUAUGCCCAUACACCUAUCUACUCUUUCCAUCUAACUUGUGCCAACAAAUUCUCUUGCACGUCCAUCUCCUCAGUGCAAGAGGAAAUUUUGCAUAGACAAUACCCUAUUUUUCCUACAAUUUUUUCUCUCUCUUUUAAACAUGCUAUUCUCUUUGUUAAGAUUGAAAAAUUAUAGGUUCUUAUUACUAUUAGAAGUAGUAUAUUUUAAAAUUUAAAUAAAAUUUUUAAUUAGAAGAGAAAAUUAGGUACUAAUACAAUGACUUUUCAUACAUAGCUCCGGUUUGGGUUGAUAAAAAAAUCAUUCAACUAGGACAUAUGGUAAACUCAAAUGUCAUUUAAGGCAAUGAGUUAAGCUCAAGCAACAUUUAAAACUUGACUUAUAGUUGGUCUAUAUCUAAAUACUUUAUCUUGCAAAGAUAAUUAUAAAUAUGGCAUGGCUCAAUAGCAACCUGUUGCCCAGAUAGACAACCCAAGGAGGGGGGGGGGGGGUGAAUUGGAUUUUAAAAUAAUUAUUGCAAUUAAAUGGUUUGUGAAUAACUAAUUAAUACUUUUUGCAAGUUGAUUAAUUGGAUGCUAUGUGCAGUGAAUGAAAUGAAAGUAAGAAACAACAAAGCAAUCACAAACACAAUAAUUUUAUAGUGGUUCGGAGCUAACCCUUGCUCCUACGUCCACUUCCCAAGCUGAUAGUAUGCGUGCAGAGGGCUAAGCAUGAAUUUCAGAAAAUUUUUAUGCGGAAAGAACGGGUUAAACAUUUUAACCCAUAACAUACUUGAUAUUUUAGAUAUUUUAACUCUGGUACCAGUCGAAGACAAUCUUCAACUGCACAUCACAUGUGACACGGGCUCAGUCCCAAUACAUAGGGUGACACCCGCACGUGCCUAUCAAAGCACUCAUCAUAUGAGCCCCCGGGUGGAGAGCCACGCUUCGUCACACGAUCACGUGUGAGAGUUUCCGAGAAUCGGAUAGUCUCCACUAAUCCUUUGCUUUGACACCAAAUAUCACAAAGCCCUCAGAUCCCGNNNNNNNNNNNNNNNNNNNNNNNNNNNNNNNNNNNNNNNNNNNNNNNNNNNNNNNNNNNNNNNNNNNNNNN
rnacentral:lncRNA from 1 species